rnacentral:rRNA from 1 species
GGCGCGCAAUUACCCAAUCCCGACUCGGGGAGGUAGUGACAAUAAAUACUGAUACAGGGCUCUUUUGGGUCUUGUAAUUGGAAUGAGUACAAUUUAAAUCCCUUAACGAGGAACAAUUGGAGGGCAAGUCUGGUGCCAGCAGCCGCGGUAAUUCCAGCUCCAAUAGCGUAUAUUAAAGUUGUUGUGGUUAAAAAGCUCGUAGUUGAACCUUGGGCCUGGCUGGCCGGUCCGCCUCACCGCGUGUACUGGUCCGGCCGGGCCUUUCCCUCUGUGGAACCCCAUGCCCUUCACUGGGUGUGGCGGGGAAACAGGACUUUUACUUUGAAAAAUUUAGAGUGCUCCAGGCAGGCCUAUGCUCGAAUACAUUAGCAUGGAAUAAUAGAAUAGGACGUGUGGUUCUAUUUUGUUGGUUUCUAGGACCGCCGUAAUGAUUAAUAGGGACAGUCGGGGGCAUCAGUAUUCAAUUGUCAGAGGUGAAAUUCUUGGAUUUAUUGAAGACUAACUACUGCGAAAGCAUUUGCCAAGGAUGUUUUCAUUAAUCAGGAACGAAAGUUAGGGGAUCGAAGACGAUCAGAUACCGUCGUAGUCUUAACCAUAAACUAUGCCGACUAGGGAUCGGACGAUGUUAUUUUUUGACUCGUUCGGCACCUUACGAGAAAUCAAAGUGCUUGGGCUCCAGGGG